CGGCUUACCAAGGCGACGAUCAGUAGCCGACCUGAGAGGGUGACCGGCCACAUUGGGACUGAGACACGGCCCAAACUCCUACGGGAGGCAGCAGUGGGGAAUAUUGCACAAUGGGCGGAAGCCUGAUGCAGCGACGCCGCGUGAGUGAAGAAGUAUCUCGGUAUGUAAAGCUCUAUCAGCAGGGAAGAAAAUGACGGUACCUGACUAAGAAGCCCCGGCUAACUAC
rnacentral:rRNA from 1 species